AUCCAGCUGAUGAGUCUCAAAUAGGACGAAACACGCGUCCUGGAU
rnacentral:hammerhead_ribozyme from 1 species